ACAUGUGCUUACAAGCAAUGUUCAUAAUAAUGGCAAAGGUUUCAGUUAUCUUUCUCAUGUUUUAGGCCACGAUUUCCUAACCAGAAUCUGUAAAAGAGUUUCCAAGACCUUGGCAGAAGCAUAUUGUGUGAUGUUCUAUAUUUAUGAAACCCAUAACAAACUGUGAAGAGAUAACAGAAUGCUGUUUGCGUGAGUUGAAACAGUAGAUGAAAUCUUUCAUUAAAAUUACUCAUACUUUGGGUCUUAUUCUUAUUUAUAAAUAAGCAUAAAUAUUAUUGCAA
rnacentral:lncRNA from 1 species